rnacentral:rRNA from 1 species
GACGCUGGCGGCGUGCUUAACACAUGCAAGUCGAACGGGGUUAAGGAGCUUGCUUCUUAACUUAGUGGCGAACGGGUGAGUAACGCGUGAGGAACCUGCCUUUCAGAGGGGGACAACAGUUGGAAACGACUGCUAAUACCGCAUGAUACUUGCGAAUGGCAUCAUUUGCAAGUCAAAGAUUUAUCGCUGAAAGAUGGCCUCGCGUCUGAUUAGCUAGUUGGUGGGGUAACGGCCCACCAAGGCGACGAUCAGUAGCCGGACUGAGAGGUUGAUCGGCCACAUUGGGACUGAGACACGGCCCAAACUCCUACGGGAGGCAGCAGUGGGGAAUAUUGGACAAUGGGGGCAACCCUGAUCCAGCGACGCCGCGUGAGUGAAGAAGUAUUUCGGUAUGUAAAGCUCUAUCAGCAGGGAAGAAAAUGACGGUACCUGACUAAGAAGCCCCGGCUAACUACGUG